rnacentral:misc_RNA from 1 species
GAUGAAGAACGUAGCGAAAUGCGAUACUUGGUGUGAAUUGCUGAAUCCGUGAACCAUCGAGUCUUUGAACGCAAGUUGCGCCCGAAGCCAUUAGGCCGAGGGCACGCCUGCCUGGGUGUCACACGUCGUUGCCCCCCCAUCUACUCCUUCGGGAUUGCGGGGGGCGGAUGAUGGCCUCCCGUGCGCCUCGUCGCGCGGUUGGCAUAAAUGCCAAGUCCUCGGCGACGCACGCCACGACAAUCGGUGGUUGCGAAACCUCGGUUGCCCGUCGUGUGCGGUCGUCGCGCAUCGAGGGCUCGAAAAAAUUGCCGGGCUCCGGCUCGGCUUUCAACGCGACCCCAGGUCAGGCGGGGUUACCCGCUGAAUUUAAGCAUAUCAAUAAGCGGAGGA